GGAAGUAAAAGUCGUAACAAGGUUUCCGUAGGUGAACCUGCGGAAGGAUCAUUAGUGAAGGAAAAGGGUGGCAAAGCCCUGUCGCUGGCUCAAAUGAGCAUGUGCACGCCUUUUGCUGCUUAUUUUAUUCUCUUUCCACCUGUGCACUUUUUGUAGACACUCGGGAUGUGGGAGAGGUCGGCAGACCCUGUCCUUGAUAUUUGAAAGUCUGGGUGUCUAUGCAUUUUUGACAUACACAUUUGAAUGUCUAUGGAAUGAGAUUGUAGGCUUUGUGAGCCUUUAAAUGAUAAAGUACAACUUUCAACAACGGAUCUCUUGGCUCUCGCAUCGAUGAAGAACGCAGCGAAAUGCGAUAAGUAAUGUGAAUUGCAGAAUCCAGUGAAUCAUCGAAUCUUUGAACGCAUCUUGCGCUCCUUGGUAUUCCGAGGAGCAUGCCUGUUUGAGUGUCAUUAAGUAUCUCAAAACGCCUUAUGCAUUAGCAUGGGAUUUUUUUGGAGAAUGGGAGUUGCCGGCUGCUGAUGAAAGCGGGUGGGCUCUUCUGAAAAGCAUUAGUUGGAGGAACUUUGCACUCUAUUGGUGUGAUAGACUAUCUAUGCCAAGAGAUGCUUUUAUUGACCUCUGCUGUCUGACUGUCUUUAUUGGACAAUGUAAUGAGCUUGACCUCAAAUCAGGUAGGACUACCCGCUGAACUUAAGCAUAUCAAUAAGCGGAG
rnacentral:rRNA from 1 species